GUAUCAGGGGUGGCGGAGUGGAGGAGGAGGCAUCUGAGCAGGCUCUAGACUCUGAAACAUGACAGCUCUGGAGUAGUUCCCCCAUCCACAAAUUAUGCAGUUGAGUUUCCCCAAAUUCGGAGUGCGAUGGAUUAACCUCAAAUCACCUUCGUAAUCAUGGUAUUUCCCCUUCCAGGAUUCUGUGCAAUGGCAAAACCAUGACUGAGCCGCAUGUGGUGUUGGAUGCUCCCAUGUAAGAGCAUGGAGGGAGCCAGAAGCUGGUUCCACAACAGUCAGACAGAUCCAAACUG
rnacentral:lncRNA from 1 species